GGAUGUGAGGGUGAUCUGGCUGGCUAGGCGGGGGUCCCCUUCCUCCCUCACCGCUCCAUGUGCGUCUCUCCAGAAGCUGAGCGAUCAGUUGAAGAGGACGACCUUCCCCCGAAUAGAGGAGGACCGGUCUUCCGUCAAGGGUAUUCGAGUAGCUGCGCUCCCCUGCUAGAACCUCCUAACAGGCUCUGAAAACAUGUACUAAAGUUGGGCACGGUGACGCACACCUUUCAUCCCAGCAUUUGGGAGGUGGAA
ensembl:misc_RNA 7SK 7SK RNA